rnacentral:rRNA from 1 species
GAUGAACGCUGGCGGCGUGCCUAAUACAUGCAAGUCGAGCGAACGGACGAGAAGCUUGCUUCUCUGAUGUUAGCGGCGGACGUGUGAGUAACACGUGUAUAACCUACCUAUAUGACUGGGAUAACUUCGGGAAACCGGAGCUAAUACCGUAUGAUAUUUUGAACCGCAUGGUUCAAAAGUGAAAUACGGUCUUGCUGUCACUUAUAGAUGGAUCCGCGCUGCAUUAGCUAGUUGGUAAGGUAACGGCUUACCAAGGCAACGAUGCAUAGCCGACCUGAGAGGGUGAUCGGCCACACUGGAAGUGAGACACGGUCCAGACACCUACGGGAGGCAGCAGUAGGGAAUCUUCCGCAAUGGGCGAAAGCAUGACGGAGCAAGGCCGCGUGAGUGAUGAAGGACUUAGGAUCGUAAAAAACUGUUAUGAGGGAAGAACAGAUGUGUAAGAAAAUGUGCACAUAUUGACGGUACCGAAUAAGAAAGCAACGGCUAACUACGUG